rnacentral:misc_RNA from 1 species
AAAGUCGUAACAAGGUUUCCGUAGGUGAACCUUCGGAAGGAUCAUUACCGAAAUGCAGCGGAGCAUGGCGUGGCCCUUGGGCCAAGAUGCCGCUCUGCGAUCAUGCAUUCAUCCACCCUUGAUUUUGAGCACCUUUUUGUUUCCUCGGCAGGGACGCCUGCCAGCGAGGACCCACCAAACCCUUUUUGCAAUAGCAGUUUUUGUCUGACUAUACAUAAAAAAUUAAAACUUUCAACAAUGGAUCUCUUGGUUCUG